AAAUUUUUCCUGUCAACAGCCUGUUUGAACUAACAUAAAUUCAGAUUGAAACAAAAUGUCAGAUUCAUCAGAUUCAACACUACAAAAUUGGCUGAAUGGCAUUAUCGAUUAUAUAGAUGAACAAGAACCACUGAUCGCAUGAAUGUAAAGGCAUAUGAAGUAAGCGAGAUACGUGACUUGAAGACUGCAAUGGAACGUGUGAGUGGAGAGAUCUUUAUGAUUGGAAUCACAAGGUACUUCACAAGGUGCUGCUAGAUAAUGUACCAAGAGAAGUGUUUAAAAGAUCUUGGGAAGCCUACGCCAAGGCCAACAUAUGUAUGAAUAUAUUGAAAGAAGAGCUUGGAACACGAAGAGAAGAGGAGUAAAAAGACACAACAGUUUUAUUGUUAUUAUUAUUCCUUGAAGCAUAACGAAUCUCUAUUAUAA